rnacentral:rRNA from 1 species
AUGGUUUCCUGGUCUGAUGAUGACACCAGCGAGAACUCUCACCAGUACGCCGACUCAGCUUCAGACGAGGGCAUCAUCAAGAUCCCUGAGACCAUCGAUGACUCUGAUUUCGAGGGCACUGAACCUGAUGUUUUGUGCAAUGAACACUCCCUGCCGGCAGAGAGGCGUGUUGCUUUCCAGGGCAUCCAUACUGGCAGGAGGUUCUUUGCUUGUGCUGUGAAGGAGGGAAGAAACUGUGGGCUAGUUGAAUGGGUUGAUCUAUUUUGGCCAGCUACAAUGGAGAAUGCAUUAACCAAGUUGUGGCAUAAGUAUGAAGAGUGCAGGAGGAGCAAGAUUGAGGACAAUCUGGAAAGCUCAUUUGCUGUUCACAGUCUGACACAACAGAAGAUCAAGCUGCAGGCAAGUUAUGAGAGGUUGGUUGAAGAUGUCAACGGCCUUUUGGAUGCCCAGGAGCAGAGGGCUCAGCUGGAGAGAGGUAAGAUGCAGAACAAACCUGAUGAGAGCAAGCUGCAGCAAAAGUAUGACAUGCUCAAGAACCUGACAGCUGCUCAAGCCAAAGUCAUUAGGGACAUGAAGUUGAAGCUUGCUGAAGAGAAGAUUAAGUUGUAG